CGUGAGACUGAACUCGGCGUGACUACGGGCGUUUUACUAAAAGAUCGAUUGCCGCAAAUAGGUGAUUAAAAUACUUAUUCCAGUUUUAUAAUAAUAAUCAAGCAUUUUCAGGAUCAACACUGGCAUAAUUGACGAGACAUUGUAGCGUUCUGAGCAAAAAACGAAAACAUUAAUUAAUUUUAGAAGGCGCCAAUUAAUAAUAAAAUUUUUUGAAAGUUUCAUGAAAAUGCGACGUUGUUUUUCGGAGAAGAUUAUACUUGACUUCGGUUUUUCAUCAUUGAUGAGUCGAGCGAAAAAACGCGAAUAUAUGAAAACGAUGCCGAAUGUGAAGCAUAUGAAUAUAAUUAUAAGAUUCGUGUAAUUUUAACAUGCGGAAAGUGUGUUGCCGCGAGAGCAUGUUGCAAAGUUACCUAUUGUAAAUUAAGCAGUCGUAAAUUGUGUGAGACAAAAAUAAGGGAUUUUCAAAACGUAUUUUUUGUAUACAAAGUACAUAAGAUUGAAAAUGAUAUAAUAUACUGUCUCGCGAAUUUAUCAAUCUAUCGAAAAAGUAUAAUUAUUUAUACAAUGAGUUAUACUUCUAUUAAUUACUACCGAAAUCUUGAAUAAAACCGAAAAUAUGUUAAUAUAGCUGGAUAUAAUGAGUUUGAACAAAUUUGCAUUGCAGUACAAAGAUGAUUUCAUUUGAGCAAUUAUAACAAUAUAUCAUCUUAUAUCUACACUUAUAGAUUUCUAGAUUUUUAGUGAGUAAAACAUUAAGAAUGCACGAACAUUGUAGGUGUACACGAAAAAUUUGGCAUAAAGAAUAUUCUGCGACCCUAUUAAGAUAUUUGCUCAAAUGUAAGAAUAAUUCUUGGGUGUUACAUCGAAGAAACGUGUAAAUUUCACUUUUUUAUACGAGCAAAUAAGUGUUUAGCGAUGUGUGUGACGAUCAUUCGUACACUGUGUCUGAUUAAAGCAAGAAUACUUGAAAUUGUUAUAUUUUUACAAUAUUUCCGUUACACUCUCUAUUGUAAUUAUAGAUGGUUGUAGAGAAAUUCAGAACUUUAUCGCGACGAAAAGAUGGGUAUGAAUGAUAUAUACUUUAUAUAUAUUUAAGCACACACACUAUUCUAAAAUAAUAGGUAAUAUUUUAUCAAUAUCGAUUCUUUGUAACUUCAUCUUUUCUUAUUUACGACACAUAUAUAUAUGUUAGCCACAUUGUCAAACAUGCUAUUACGAAGUAGUAUACGCUGCAAAUCUUUGUUAAAAACGGAUAAAACUUGUAUAAAAUAUCUGCACUGUAUAUUAUGCAUAAUAUAAUUUUAAAAAACC